rnacentral:rRNA from 1 species
GAUGAACGCUGGCGGCGUGCUUAACACAUGCAAGUCGAACGGAAAGGCCAGUGCUUGCACUGGUACUCGAGUGGCGAACGGGUGAGUAACACGUGGGUGAUCUGCCCUGUACUUCGGGAUAAGCUUGGGAAACUGGGUCUAAUACCGGAUAGGACAACUUUUUGGAUAUUGUUGUGGAAAGCUUUUGCGGUAUGGGAUGAGCUCGCGGCCUAUCAGCUUGUUGGUGGGGUAAUGGCCUACCAAGGCGUCGACGGGUAGCCGGCCUGAGAGGGUGUACGGCCACAUUGGGACUGAGAUACGGCCCAGACUCCUACGGGAGGCAGCAGUGGGGAAUAUUGCACAAUGGGCGCAAGCCUGAUGCAGCGACGCCGCGUGGGGGAUGAAGGCCUUCGGGUUGUAAACUACUUUCGCUAGGGACGAAGCGCAAGUGACGGUACCUGGAGAAGAAGCACCGGCUAACUACGUG